rnacentral:lncRNA from 1 species
UCCAUUCAUGGGUGGAAGAAUCAAUUCUUCUUUGUUUCUUCUCCGUCUUCUUGGGGCUUUCCUUCUCACUGGGGCGUGCCCCGAACCGAAGCUAAUGACAACAGUCGGGUGGAAGCGGACGACCGGGAGGACUUCCACCGACUAAAAGAUAUGUCGGUCCCGAAGCAGAGGGAGCUUGUUACCGAAUAAGCUCUCUAUGACGCCGGCUUAAGCUUGGUCCCCCGACUAGGUAUCGUCCGAUUUUUCGGUCUCCUUUUCAUCCGACCCUUAGUCCGGUCCUUUAGC